CAGCUGAUGGCCUUGGAAGUGAUAGGCACUUUCCAUGCCUUAACUCAUUUAGUCCUUAAAACACCUGAAGUUGGUACUAUUCCUGCUCCCCAGUCAAUGCAACGGAGGCUGUGAAGAGGUUAAGUCUCAAUUGCAUGCAGCUCCUAAGUAGCGGAGACAGGAUUUGAACCCAGGACUGACCGGCUACCAAGACGAGGGAAGAGCCGGCGACAGAGCAUCUUCUGAGCUGCGCCCACCCCACUGCGGCCAGAGGGAGAGAGGGCCCACUGAGGGUGGCUUAUGCGGCCCUCGGAGGACAGAGGACGGAGGAUCGAGGGCGAGGCCAGCCCAGAAGACCUCUGGCAGCCCUGCUGGACACAGCUGGGUCCUGACCUGCUCCCCAUGUCUCCCUGGUGGCCUCGGCCCAGACACCAACCCCUCCAUCACCUGCCCUGGGAGGGGGUGAGGGGCAAGGAAGGACCUCGGACGCUUUUCCAUCCCAAAGCCCUCGGGCACCAGUGUGGGGCCCACGGGGCCAGGAGGACCCAGCUGCCGGGCUGAGCACGGUGCCCUGGACAUGCCUCCCCCGGGGCCUGCCUGUCUCACCAGUUUGGUAGAUCCCGUUAUGGGCCCCUCGUUCCCUUCUCCCCUCUGAGAGCAGGAAGCGACAUGGCACCUUUCCCAGGACCCUGGAAUCCUGGGUGCCAGUUUGUGUGCCAAAGCACCUGAGGGGCAGGUGCCCCCAGGGCCACCGGGGAAAUAGUCGGCCUAUCCCCACUCCAUCACCCCACCUGCUCCCAUUCCCCCUCCUGGCCAGAGGCCCUGUAUGCUGCUGGAUGCCUGCUGAGUCCGGCGGCCUGGCACCGCCAGGGGCACUCCUGCGCCUCCGCUGCCCGCCGUCUCCCUAGUCUGAAGGGGACUGACUGCCUUAAGUUGGAAGGUGGGAGCACGCACUGCCCUUGGAGCUCUGACCCGAGCUCCUACCUGCCCAGCCUUUCCCCAGAGCAGCUCCUGCUUGUCGCACCCGCGUGCUGAUAAGCCAGCCCGGGGCCAGGGUCCUGAGGACAGCACCCAGAUAGGCAGGGUCACCCGGCACUGGUGCCAGGCUGGCCUUGGCUCCUUGGGCCUGGCACAGCCUCCCUGCCCUCCUUCCCAGCCCCUGUGGCCCUGUCCUUGCUCCACCCGAUCCUGGCACCAGCCGCCCCAAAGGGUGGUCAUGAGAAGGCGAGUGUAAAUGCCAGCCUGAGGUAGAGGAAGGUGGGGUGGGCCAGCACAGGGGCUGGAAGUCUGAGGGGCCUGGGCCCCUGGAGAAGGGCCUCCCCAGCACCCCUUCCGAGCCUGCCUGCUGUGUCCCCAAGGGCACCUCCACAGGUGGCUGAACCUCGAAUACCAAGGCCAAGGGGAAGCCAGGCCCGACCUUUCCAUACCAGCCCCUGCCCUGCCCGCCCUCCGCCUGAGGGGCAGCCCUGGAGGGUCUUUGCCUCCUGCAGGGCCCUCCCCUCCCCCACGGUACUGGUACUGUGAACGUCCUGGGACUCAGCAGGGAGACCGACGCCAUAUUUAAUUCAUGUACAGAAAGGAGCCGCAGUCUCGCGAAGAAAAGCUGAGUCCGACAGAUUGAUGCCAAAGAUGGAGGCCUUCUGGGCCUCAGGGGUGCGGGUGUGUGUGUGUGUAUGUGUGUGUGUGUAUAUAUAAAGUGGAGCGAGCGUU